rnacentral:misc_RNA from 1 species
AGCUUCAUGAAAUUGACUUUGCAGAUUUGUCAAAUAAUUCAUUGGAUGUAUUUACCAUUUCAAAUGUAAAUAGUGGCUCAAAAUGGUUGUGGAUUCACUUCUCUGCUUCGUCACUAUUUUCGUAUGUUGUCUACUUUAUUAUGAAUAUAGAUAUAUAUCUUUGAAAAGGAUUGCUUAUUUUUAUUCAUCCAAACCUCAGCCAC